rnacentral:rRNA from 1 species
UACGUAGGGUCCGAGCGUUGUCCGGAAUUAUUGGGCGUAAAGGGCUCGUAGGCGGUGUGUCACGUCGGCCGUGAAAACCUGCAGCUUAACUGUGGGCGUGCGGUCGAUACGGGCAUCACUGGAGUUCGGCAGGGGAGACUGGAAUUCCUGGUGUAGCGGUGAAAUGCGCAGAUAUCAGGAGGAACACCGGUGGCGAAGGCGGGUCUCUGGGCCGAUACUGACGCUGAGGAGCGAAAGCGUGGGGAGCAAACAGG